GACGUAGGGCGCGAGCGUUGUCCGGAUUUAUUGGGCGUAAAGAGCUCGUAGGCGGCUUGUCGCGUCGACUGUGAAAACCCGCGGCUCAACUGCGGGCCUGCAGCCGAUACGGGCAGGCUAGAGUUCGGUAGGGGAGACUGGAAUUCCUGGAUGUAGCGGUGAAAUGCGCAGAUAUCAGGAGGAACACCGAUGGCGAAGGCAGGUCUCUGGGCAUUAAACUGACGCUGGAGG
rnacentral:rRNA from 1 species